GUGCUCUCUUUGGCAGCACAUAUACUAAAAUUGGAAUGAAACAGAGAAGAUUAGCAUGGCCCCUACAGAAAAUAUAAAUAAAUAAAUAAAAUAUCCCAUGUCAGU